rnacentral:rRNA from 1 species
YUAAGCCAUGCGAGUCAUUGUAGCAGUACAAGGCAGACGGCUCAGUAACGCGUAGUCAAUCUACCCUAUGGACGGGAAUAACCUCGGGAAACUGAGAAUAAUGCCCGAUAGAACAUUAUGCCUGGAAUGGUUUAUGUUUCAAAUGAUUUAUCGCCAUAGGAUGGGACUGCGGCCUAUCAGUUUGUUGGUGAGGUAAUGGCCCACCAAGACUAUUACAGGUACGGGCUCUGAGAGGAGUAGCCCGGAGAUGGGUACUGAGACACGGACCCAGGCCCUAUGGGGCGCAGCAGGCGAGAAAACUUUGCAAUGUGCGAAAGCACGACAAGGUUAAUCCGAGUGGUUUCUGCUAAAGAAACCUUUUGUCAGUCCUAGAAACACUGACGAAUAAGGGGUGGGCAAGUUCUGGUGUCAGCCGCCGCGGUAAAACCAGCACCUCAAGUGGUCAGGAUGAUUAUUGGGCCUAAAGCAUCCGUAGCUCGUUUUGUAAGUUUUCGGUUAAAUCCAUGCGCUUAACGUAUGGGCUGCCGGGAAUACUGCAUAACUAGGAAGUGGGAGAGGUAGACGGUACUCGGUAGGAAGGGGUAAAAUCCUUUGAUCUAUUGAUGACCACCUGUGGCGAAGGCGGUCUACCAGAACACGUUCGACGGUGAGGGAUGAAAGCUGGGGGAGCAAACCGGAUUAGAUACCCGGGUAGUCCCAGCUGUAAACUAUGCAAACUCAGUGAUGCAUUGGCUUGUGGCCAAUGCAGUGCUGCAGGGAAGCCGUUAAGUUUGCCGCCUGGGAAGUACGUACGCAAGUAUGAAACUUAARGGAWUUGSCGGGGGAGCACCACAAGGGGUGAAGCCUGCGGUUCAWUUGGAGUCAACGCCAGAAWUCUUACCCGGAGAGACAGCAGAWUGAAGGUCAAGCUGAAGACUUUACCAGACAAGCUGAGAGGUGGUGCAUGGCCA